rnacentral:rRNA from 1 species
UACGUAGGGGGCAAGCGUUGUCCGGAUUUAUUGGGCGUAAAGAGCGUGUAGGCGGUUUGGUAGGUCCGUUGUGGAAACUCGAGGCUCAACCUCAAGACGCCGAUGGAAACCAUCAGACUAGAGUCCGGAAGAGGAGAGUGGAAUUCCUGGUGUAGCGGUGAAAUGCGCAGAUAUCAGGAAGAACACCCGUGGCUAAGGCGGCUCUCUAGUACGGUACUGACGCUGAGACGCGAAAGCGUGGGGAGCGAACAGG